AAUGCUGAAUGAAAGCUGGUCUGUGCUUUUAGGCUUAAGAGGUGGGUGGGAGUAUGCAGGGGUCAGAGGGAGUGGGGCUAUGGAACUCCAGCUGGGCAUAGAGAGGGCGAGAUCGCGAAUGAUCACUGGCAGAAGACAGUCGAAAGUGAAAUCAGCAGAAAAAAAACAAUGGAUUCUCAGAGAUUCUCACCGUAGAGGGUAAGGCAGGUUGUUCCUGAGAUCUUCCCAGCGCCAAAGGUAUUGAAGAGACACAUGUAACACCCUUCAUCCUCCAGUGUUGCAUUCCAGAAGGUGAUGGCUGACUUCUGCAAUCCCACCUCGGUGAUGUUCAUCCUAUCCAUAUAGGGAGGCUGGACCACAACCCCAUGUUUCUUACUGUAGGUGGCCAUGUUUUCUGGGCUUAUAUCCUUCUUUUUUUGCCAUGUCACAAUUAAGGCUUCUAAGGAAGAUUGCAAAGAACAUCUCAAGGAUGCAGGUGUGUUCAGCGGCUUGCUUUCAUCCUGGGUCACCACUUCCACAAUGGUACCAUAAAAGAACACAAUUAUUAAGGUUGAUACAUUAUGUCAACUUUAGAAGUCUAAAAUUCAACUAAGUAUCUCAGCAGUUCUACAUCCCAGGAUACAGAGGACCUGCCCUUUCCACUCUACGGUGUAGUUCAUCAUGUCAACUUGAGAAUGUAACUAAGUGACUCAAAAGACAGCCAAGGUCCUCACUUUGUAAACACUCUGAGCCUGUGUAAGAGGGCAUGGAGAUGGUGUGAGUGCCACACCUAUCCUAGAGGGUGUAGCCUGCUUACAAUAUAAGUGGAAAAGGGAUCUGGUCCCCCACCACCACCUCUUUUUGCUUUUGCUUCUUUUGUUGUCUUCUGUCAUCUUGAUAUGUUGCCCCUGUGCUGUGUCACCUUGCCUUGGAGACAGCUGAUUACAGACUAAAACCUCAACAAACCACGAGCUAAAUAAACCUUUCCUUCCUUAA